UAGAGACUGUAUUUCAAAUGUCUGGCCAGUUGUAAGAGCUCAUUGGGUAUAAUUUCCCAGCAGGCUCAUAGCUUUUAUUUGAGUCUCUUAGGAUCAUUGUGUUAACAUUGUCGGGGCGGUGGGCGGGAAAGGAAGGCUGACUCACUCCUUUUCCAUUUGGCAAUGAAGAUCAGUGAAAGCUCAGUGAAGCCAAAGGUCACAGAAAAAUGGUGUGAUUAGAACACAAUAUCCAUUGUAUUCUAAGUGCCUAGGCCUGGGCUGGGUAUUCUGGAGAAUACAGAGGUAAACCAACUUGUGAACUGACCUUCUCUGUUGGUUUCUACUUUGCUGCACUAGUGGGUUUGCGCCUCUAUGACCCCAGGCUUGGCUCUGAUCCUCACUCCGGAUCUUGCUCCUGAUCUCUGGAGUGGUAGAAAUAAUCCAGCCCACACGUUUUAACUUGAAUGGAUUUCUGUAAGUGACUGCAUCUCUUUGAUCUGAGGCUCCUGUCUGCAAGGUAGGUAUAGUCAUAAUAAUUUCACCCAUUGGCCAGGGCUGAUGUUGGAUUAGGUCACCUCCAACACCACCUUGGACUCCCUCACUAGGUGUUGUGCUGGUGUGUGAACAUUAUAACCAAAGACGUGGCAUCCCCCGUCUAUGGGCUCCCCUCCUGGUCUCCACCCCAGCUCCGUUUCCUGUUCACCAUUUUUGGCUCUGAUCUAUGACCUCUGCUAGCAAAGCAGCACAUUUCUAAUUUGGCAGGGGCUGCUGUUCGUGUCCUUUUCUCUGCCCAGGACAAGAACGAUGUAAUUGGAACCACCAAUGGCAGACACAGAAAGAAAACAGGAUUGACAAGCUGGCACCAUGUGAGCCCAUGAGAGCCAAACCAUGGCAAGGGGAUUGCAGAGAGUCAGAUUCUCCACUGAGCCCUGCCCCGGCAGGAAGGCAAGCUCCAGUCAAGGGUGGAACAAGGUGACGCCCACGUUCAGCCAUAGGAAGCUCGCACAUCUCCUGCCACCAGCCACGACAGCCCCCGUCCUGCACAGGCAGGCCCGAAUCUUGGGAAACACAAUGGCUGCCGCCAUCACAGUUAUAGAUAUUCACAGGUCUCAGAGAAGCCCAAAUGCAAUCCUAGCUGACACGAUAACGGAUAUUUAGCAGGGAGUGGAGAGCCCAGGGAAGAAUACUGUGAUGCUGAUGGGGAAUAUUGAUGGUAAGUGCUAAAAACAAGACUUGCCUCCUUGUGGUAGGACUGGCCCCAUGGAAGAUACCCGUGUUUCAUGUUUUUACAUCAUCAGACUCCCAGUUUGCAGAUAGUGGCACGUGGUGACACCUCCUCACUGUGUGAUCCAGGGGCCUUCCCUGAUGUGGUCCUGGAUGUUUCUGUACUGAUGGCCUCACUCCCCUGGCUGCUUGGCUCUGUACUGGGAUUUUCAUCUCAGGAUGUGUGAAACCAGCCUGAAGACAGUUCUUGUAAAAAUGUCCUUGAAACCAUGAAAUUGGCGCAAGACCGAUCAGAACUGAGAUAGGAAAGUCACUCAAAGAACUCGAAAGCCUACCAGGCCAGAAAGGGUGGUCUACGACUUAAUUGGUUGUAUCAACCCAUGUAAGCAAGGACUAUGUCCUUCAGAAAUGGAUGAACGAGAAUGGAAAGCUGGAGGAAGGAGAGACAGUCACACAUGGGCAGUGCUCAUCAGGAAGGGCUCUGCUUGGCAACAGUGCGUCUGAUCCACCUGUCAGGUAUAUCCUUAUUUUGAAGGUGAGACUUCCUGGGAUUUUGGAGACUGAUGCUAAACUCUGAGCUCCAAGAAAGCAGGAACAAUGUAUCUAACUUGUUCACAGGGCCUCAUGCAAUGUAGGUAUUUGAUGAGUGUUUGUGGAAUGAACUCAUUGACUCUUUUAACAUUCAAAUCUUUCAUAUAUGCAUAUAAAUACAGAAG
rnacentral:lncRNA from 10 species